rnacentral:rRNA from 1 species
AUGGUUUUCAAAGACGAAAGCAGUGAGGACACGUCCAGCCUGCCGUACAUGCACUCGACCUCAUCCACGAACGGGCUUAACCAGGUCCCUUUCAGCGUUGAAGAUCCAGAUUACCAGGGGCUUGAGCUGGAAACGAUGUCGCCAUGUGAGAAGCACGGCAAGGCAUCUGAGAGGCUUGUCGCAUUUGAAGGAACAGACACAGGGAGAAGGUUCCUAGAAGGGCAGAAUUGUGGGUUUGUUGAAUGGGUUGAUCACCAGUGGCCCCCAACAAUGCAAAAUGCAUUGUUGAAGCUGUGGGCCAUGGUUUAA